rnacentral:rRNA from 1 species
GUGCACGCUGGCGGUAGGCCUAACACAUGCCAGUCGCACGGCAGCACAGUAAGCGCUUGCUCUUACGGGUGGCGAGUGGCGGACGGGUGAGGAAUACAUCGGAAUCUACUUUUUCGUGGGGGAUAACGUAGGGAAACUUACGCUAAUACCGCAUACGACCUACGGGUGAAAGCAGGGGGUCUUCGGACCUUGCGCGAUUGAAUGAGCCGAUGUCGGAUUAGCUAGUUGGCGGGGUAAAGGCCCACCAAGGCGACGAUCCGUAGCUGGUCUGAGAGGAUGAUCAGCCACACUGGAACUGAGACACGGUCCAGACUCCUACGGGAGGCAGCAGUGGGGAAUAUUGGACAAUGGGCGCAAGCCUGAUCCAGCCAUACCGCGUGGGUGAAGAAGGCCUUCGGGUUGUAAAGCCCUUUUGUUGGGAAAGAAAAGCAGCAGGUUAAUACCCCGCUGUUCUGACGGUACCCAAAGAAUAAGCACCGGCUAACUUCGUG